rnacentral:rRNA from 1 species
UAUCUCUGUAGAGUCUGCAUAUCAAUAAGCGGAGGAAAAGAAACUAACAAGGAUUCCCUUAGUAACGGCGAGUGAAGCGGGAAGAGCUCAAAUUUGAAAUCUCCAAGGUUCUACCUUGACGAAUUGUAGUUUAAAGAAGUGUUUUCUGUUAGAUGAGUAGCAAAAGUUCCUUGGAAUGGGACAUCAUAGAGGGUGAGAAUCCCGUAUUUGGUUAUUCAUUCUAGCUUUGUGAUACACUUUCAAGGAGUCGGAUUGUUUGGGAAUGCAGUCCAAAAUGGGUGGUAAAUUUCAUCUAAAGCUAAAUAUUGGCGAGAGACCGAUAGCGAACAAGUACCGUGAGGGAAAGAUGAAAAGAACUUUGAAAAGAGAGUUAAACAGUACGUGAAAUUGUCAAAAGGGAAGCGUUUGACACCAGUGUUGUUUUUCCGAAAAUCAAUUACGAAUGGCUUGAUUUUGUGUUGUAUUGACCUUAUCAGCUUUCUGCACUUUUUUCGAGUCUUUCUUAAUGCACUUUUGGUUAACAAGUCAACAUCAAUUUCUUUUGUUGUAAAAGAGUAUUCGGAAGGUGGCUUUCUUUUCGGAGAAAGUGUUUAUAGCCCUAUACUUCUACAAUCGGAGAGAUUGAGGUCUGCAGCGUAGAUCCUUCGGGGUUAGAUACACUUGUGCUAAGUUGUAGCUUUUCAUAGACAACUUGUUGACUAUGUUUAGUCAUGCGGCUUACUCGCUUGUGCUAUUUUACCUACGCUUAGGAUGUUGACUGAUAUGUAGUCGUA